GGUGGCCUAGUGGUUAGAACGUCCGCCUUGAAUGCUAGAGGUCGCGGGUUCGAACCCCGGACGAGUCA